rnacentral:rRNA from 1 species
UACGUAGGGGGCUAGCGUUGUCCGGAAUCAUUGGGCGUAAAGCGCGUGUAGGCGGUCCGGUAAGUCCGCUGUGAAAGUCAAAGGCUCAACCUUUGAAAGCCGGUGGAUACUGUGGGACUAGAGUACGGAAGAGGCGAGUGGAAUUCCUGGUGUAGCGGUGGAAUGCGCAGAUAUCAGGAGGAACACCAAUAGCGAAGGCAGCUCGCUGGGACGUUACUGACACUGAGGCGCGAAAGCGUGGGGAGCGAACAGG